AGUCAGACGGCUGCGUCUACUCGAGCCCUGAACAGCAAACCUGCGCUCUGUCUGACACACUCAUUGCGUCACUGGCGCAGUUAAAGGAAUCGUUGUUUCGGCCUCUUAGUUUUCGUCCACUAUUCCGGCAACCCAGGAGACUUUGAAUGAAAACUUCGCAAGGUUUAGUGGGAGAAAAUGUAACCUGUGAUACUGUAUCAGUGAUUAAUUUACAGCGGUAAACAGAGUAGCCUUUGGGGGGAGAAUGUCGACUCUUCACGAAAUCCUAACACUUCUGUGAUAAAGUAAUCUGAAAGGAAGAACAAACAAAAUGAAGAUUCACAUUUGCUUUGUUACUGGGGUAGUUUUAUCUCAUUUUGUGGUCACUUGCUUGGGGCAAGAACAGCAUAAGAAACCGUUCCUCGAUCUUCCUGCUCUAAAGGUAAGGUUCCCGGAAGGCGUCGCUCCUGAAACCGAGCUGAAAUUUAUAUCUUUCCUUGCGUCGCUCAGCACUUCAGACAAUGCAACUCUAUUAACGUUCCUCACAGACAACAACAGCGUAUAUCACGUUUUAAACCUCCCCGUAGCCCGAGUGAGAAGACGCUGACAAAUUUAAUCAAGUUGGAGGACGGAUGGGAAGGGAAUUUCGUCCUCUUCGGGGAUCGGGAAAAUGCUGUCAUAUUCCAUGUUGUCGUUUUUAGAUAAUAAAGGUUUGUAGUAAACGA